rnacentral:rRNA from 1 species
UACGUAGGGGGCAAGCGUUAUCCGGAAUUAUUGGGCGUAAAGCGCGCGCAGGCGGUUUCUUAAGUCUGAUGUUAAAGCCCACGGCUCAACCGUGGGCCGCAUUGGAAACUGGGAGACUUGAGUACUGAAGAGGAAAGUGGAAUACCACGUGUAGCGGUGAAAUGCGUAGAGAUGUGGUGGAACACCAGUGGCGAAGGCGACUUUCUGGUCAGUAACUGACGCUGAGGCGCGAAAGCGUGGGGAGCAAACAGG